UAAAGAUUUUCUGGGCUAACAAUCUAAGAAAUAAUACAUAACAAAACAAAAUACUGCAUAGUUUUCUAAGGACUCAAAGCGAGGCGACUUGCAAAUGUUUAUCAUUGUUUAACAUUCCAGAUCAGUUUCCUUUGUUGACAACGAAAAGGGUUUUUCUGGAAAGGAAUUCUCGAAAAACUACUUUGGUUUAUCAAAGUAAGAAUGAAACCAUAUCCUCUGAAAUAAUCCACACUUGUGUGUUAGCUAAAAUGCAUUGAAUUGUAGGUCUGCCUACACACUUGCAUACCACAUCCAGUAGGUGGUGCUCCAUACCAUACAUGGGGCAGAGAAGUUGACAGGUGUGUAUGCUGUAGGGCUCAACAAAUGCCAAGGAGCUCUCAGAGAAAGGGGUGAAUAUUUGGGAUGCAAACGGGUCCCGACACUUCUUGGACAAGAUGGGGUUCAGAGACCGGGAUGAGGGAGACCUGGGACUAGUGUAGUUUCCAGUGGAGGCACUAUGGUGCGGAAUACAGAAAUAUGCACGCAGGUACGCCACACCCUGACAUGGUAUUGUAGGAUUAUGAGUGUUUCAUUUAAAAAAAUGUAACUAGUGCUUCAUUUUCAUGGAUAAUACUUCCCUUAUAGAUUACACAGGACAAGGUGUGGACCAACUACAGAAAGUUGACACAAUCAAGACCAAUCCAGAAGAAUCAUCAUGUGUGCGUGGAACCUCAAAAGGCAUCUGACAGUCUUGACUUCACUGUGUAUACACUUAACAGUCAAUGUUGGUUUGUAUUGCUCACACACCUGUGCCUGUGUUGUUCCCAGACCAUAUGGCGCUGCCCCCCUGCCAUGCCCUGUGUCAGUUGUACGUAUUUGACGGGAAGCUGCCGUGCCAGCUGUACCAGUGCUCGGGGGACAUGGGCCUGGGAGUGCCCUUCAACAUCGCCAGCUACGCCAUCCUCACCUACAUGAUCUCCCAUAUCACAGGACUUGAGCCUGGUGAAAGUAGGUUCAUGACAGACACAACUGAGAUAUACACACUGCAGUGACAGCUCCAGAGAGAUUCGGCCCUUCCCCAAGCUGAAGCUCAUUCGGAUGGUGGAGAAAAUAGAUGACUUCCGUGCAGAAGACGAAGAUCGUUGACUACAAUCCCCAACAUAUCAUCAAAAUGUAGAUGGCAGUUUAAACGGCCUUCAAUUAACUACAAUGAACAAAAAUAAAACACAACAUGCAACAUUUUCAAAGAUUUUACUUAAGUAUAGCUCAUGUAAGGAAAUAUCAAUUGAAAUAAAUUCAUUAGGCCCUAAUCUAUGGAUUUCACAUGAUUGUGAAUACAGAUAUGCAUCUGUUG